rnacentral:rRNA from 1 species
AUAACAGCUGGAAACAGCUGCUAAUACCGGAUACGACCUUCGAUGGCAUCAUCUGGAGGUGGAAAGCUCCGACGGUCAAGGAUGGGCUCGCGGCCUAUCAGCUUGUUGGUGAGGUAACGGCUCACCAAGGCUUCGACGGGUAGCCGGCCUGAGAGGGCGACCGGCCACACUGGGACUGAGAUACGGCCCAGACUCCUACGGGAGGCAGCAGUGGGGAAUAUUGCACAAUGGGCGAAAGCCUGAUGCAGCAACGCCGCGUGCGGGAUGACGGCCUUCGGGUUGUAAACCGCUUUCAGUUCCGACGAAGGUAACCUGACGGUAGGAACAGAAGAAGGACCGGCCAACUACGUGCCAGCAGCCGCGGUGAUACGUAGGGUCCGAGCGUUGUCCGGAAUUAUUGGGCGUAAAGGGCUUGUAGGCGGUUUGUCGCGUCGGAAGUGAAAACUCAGGGCUUAACUCUGAGCCUGCUUCCGAUACGGGCAAACUAGAGGGAUGCAGGGGAGAACGGAAUUCCUGGUGGAGCGGUGGAAUGCGCAGAUAUCAGGAGGAACACCGGUGGCGAAGGCGGUUCUCUGGGCAUUUCCUGACGCUGAGAAGCG